CAUUGCUUGCAUCUCAAUCAUUCAGUCAACGGACGGAGAAGCUGCAUAAUUAAACUGGUGAUUGCAAGAUUUAAAUCAAAGUUUCGGCAGGUUGAAAAAGCCAUGGCAGCAAGCCAAACACAGGAGGAGAGUGAUUGCUCUGAGCUGGAUUUCUCCAUUUGUUCAGGCUCUGAAUACGUGCCAAGUCAAAUUUCAGACUUAAGUGAUGAGGACAACCACAGUCUACAAAGUAAGACACUAAAGAUCACUGAUGUUUCUAGCGACAGUGAUAAUGAAGAACUGAGAAACAUGACUCUUAAAAAGACACC